rnacentral:rRNA from 1 species
CUUGGUCAUUUAGAGGAAGUAAAAGUCGUAACAAGGUUUCCGUAGGUGAACCUGCGGAAGGAUCAUAGUAAUCGUCUUUGACGUUCGCUUAUUCCGUUGUCCUCGGGACGUUAAAUUGCUCUGGUCGAGGAUAAAUGACCCCUCUGACCGAGGUAAAACCCGUCGCUCUGUGUUACCUCUGAGGCACACGUUAAAGAUUGUUCAGCAUUGUGAGUCUAACACCAGUUGUAUAAACUCCUUACAACCGGUAGCGAUGGAUCCCUUGGCACGUCAUUCGAUGAAGACCGUUGCAAAUUGCGAUAAAGUGAUGUGAUGCGCAAGUCCACCACUUAUACGUGAAUCAUCGAGUUGUUGAACGCAUUGCACCGCGCCCUAAUCCGGCUGCGGUAUGCCCCUUUGAGCGUCAUUGUAUUCCUUCGGGAGUCCUGCUUUACAAAGGACCCGAGUUCGGAGUCCUCGGUCCUCUGGAUCGUGUUCUCUUAGAUGCGUCGCACCGAUCGCCUGAUGGGUCUCUAAUGCCUAAGCGUGGAGUUCCUUCAGAGUCCGAGAGGUGCUUGACCGGGUGUUGAGCUCGUGUCACCAAGUCUGCCUCACAAGCAGUACUACAACGCAUGACCUCAUUGGGGUAGGACAACCCGCUAGACUUAAGCAUAUCAAUAAGCGGAGGAAGCAUAUCAAUAAGCGGAGGA